rnacentral:lncRNA from 1 species
CUUAGAUUGAAAUGCAGAACUCAAGCCUCUUUCAUCGGGGCACAGACUUCCUUUUACUUCUUCCUUUUGCCCUCUCGCCUCCUCCUCCUGGGAAGAAGCGGAGGCGCCGGCGGUCGGCCGGGAUAGCAACAGGCCGGGCCACUGAGGCGGUGCGGAAAGUUUCUGUCUGGGAGUGCGGAACUGGGGCCGGGUUGGUGUACUGCUCGGAGCAAUGGGCACCAAAUGGUCUCCCAGCUGUGGGCAGUUUUGUGUCAGCAUCCAGCAUGGCUCCUUACCCUACCCCAGCCCAAGUGUCGCCUUACAUGACCUACAGUGCUGCUCCUUCUGGUUAUGUUGCUGGACAUGGGUGGCAACAUGCUGGGGGCACCUCAUUGUCUCCCCACAACUGUGACAUUCCGGCAUCGCUGGCGUUCAAGGGAAUGCAGGCAGCCAGAGAAGGUAGUCAUUCUGUCACGGCUUCCGCGCUCUGAUGGGAAAUUCCGUCUCCAGCAGCUUCACCCGGGUCUCCCUGUCUCAGCACCUCCUCCCCCAAUUCCCAGGUCUCACAUCCCACCCCUCCUGCCCUCCAACCCUUCUGCCUUGAAAGCUGGCUGUACGGACUCACAUCCUUUGUGCUAAUGACACUUACAUAUUUCUUGCCAUAACUUUUCUCUUGCAGAAAAACUGACAUGACUUUAGGAUUUAAAAACAAGAGCAACAAUAAGCAUUGAAUGAGACAUUUGUGUUGCCCACAUACUGUCUUAACAUAACAAAGAAACCUACACCCCUCAAAGGGUUUAAGGAACUUUACAAACUAGUCUUUGGUAAAACCACAUGUGUAUAUUUAUUCUAAAUCAACCUGAACUUUUGAAAUGUGCAAUUGUUGAGAUUUUGCAAAAUCAAUAAAGGAAAAUACUUAUAGAAAAAAUUAUGCUACACCCUCUAAUCAAAUAUGGUAACCAAGUAAGCUUUAAUUCAUCAUUAGGAAACAAAUCAAUAAGUGACUUGUUUGAGUGAUCCUUUGUUUAAGACAUGACCUAUUUUGUUGAAAAAUAUAUGUAGAACCCAAGCAAUAUCUGAAUCUAGCUCUCCCUGGUGUUUUGACUUGGUUCCAAAUACAAUAAUGUUUAUAUUUUC